UACGUAGGGCGCAAGCGUUGUCCGGAAUUAUUGGGCGUAAAGAGCUCGUAGGCGGCUUGUCACGUCGGUUGUGAAAGCCCGGGGCUCAACUCCGGAUCUGCGGUGGGUACGGGCAGACUAGAGUGAUGUAGGGGAGACUGGAAUUCCUGGUGUAGCGGUGAAAUGCGCAGAUAUCAGGAGGAACACCAAUUGCGAAGGCAGCUCGCUGGGACGUUACUGACGCUGAGACGCGAAAGCGUGGGGAGCAAACAGG
rnacentral:rRNA from 1 species